rnacentral:rRNA from 1 species
GAUGAACGCUGGCGGCGUGCCUAAUACAUGCAAGUCGAACGAAACUUCUUUAUCACCGAGUGCUUGCACUCACCGAUAAAGAGUUGAGUGGCGAACGGGUGAGUAACACGUGGGCAACCUGCCCAAAAGAGGGGGAUAACACUUGGAAACAGGUGCUAAUACCGCAUAACCAUAGUUACCGCAUGGUAACUAUGUAAAAGGUGGCUAUACUACCGCUUUUGGAUGGGCCCGCGGCGCAUUAGCUAGUUGGUAGGGUAAAGGCUUACCAAGGCAAUGAUGCGUAGCCGAAGUGAGAGGUUGAUCGGCGACAUUGGGACUGAGACACGGCCCAAACUCCUACGGGAGGCAGCAGUAGGGAAUCUUCCACAAUGUGCGAAAGCCUGAUGGAGCAACGCCGCGUGGGUGAAGAAGGUCUUCGGAUCGUAAAACCCUGUUGUUAGAGAAGAAAGUGCGUGAGAGUAACUGUUCACGUUUCGACGGUAUCUAACCAGAAAGCCACUGCUAACUACGUG